UCCCCGCCUCGUGACGCCGUCCUCCCCCUCCUCUCCCGCCCGCCGCGGCCAGGAGGGGUCCGCGGGCCUGGGGAGGGAGCGGUGGGGAGCCCCGGGGAUGAGGCGGGAGGGGGGCAGAGCCCCGCGGGCCGCCCCGGGCCAUCAGGGAUGACUGGGGCAGCUCCCGAGGGCCCUUUUAACAGCCCCCGCCCAACCCACCACCACCACCACCACCACCACCGAGGGAGGCGACAGGCGGGUAAGGAGGGUGAGGACAGACGGCGUUUGGAGAGCUUUUUCCAGAAACUGUCCGGAGCCCAGCUCGGUUUCUGAGACCGCCCUAAGGGAUUUCUCAGAGGAGGCACCCCAGCAAUUAAUUGCUUUUCUGGCCGACUCGCUUUUCCUCUCGCGGCGCGGAGACCCACGUACCGCGCGCUCCGAGGGCGGCCACCACCCCGGCACCCGAGCUCGGUGUCGCCCUCGCGGCCGUCCUCCCGCGCAGGGGAGCGGCCCGGGCCCCUGCCUUCUGGGGCGCGGGUCCUAGGAGGGCGCCUACGUGGAGCGCCUGGGCGCUCCCCCACACCCGCCGUGACGCUUCCUGUAGAGUGGGGUGAAAGUGGGGAGAACCGCUCUGCCCCUGGCAAGAACAGAAUUCUCCCCAUAGCCUUCGUCUGCGUCCUCCUUUUCAUAAUGUCUUGCUUUCCCCCGUGCCCCCCCCCCCGCUCCGCCCCCCGAGCCAGCUGCAGCACCGGCUCCCGGAGCUGAAAAGAAGCCCUUUAGGGCUCCUCAGAGCGAACUGCCCUGCGCUCCGCUCGAAGCCCAGGGAGGGGGUUCCAGGGGCAGGGAUUAUUUUAAACUACUACCAGCAAUUCACCCGACAUCCGACACCCGCAGCCCAGCCCGCGCCGUGCCCGCCAGAGGCGAAACAGGAAGGGUCAGUUCUGAGAAAUGCUGAGCAAGACUCAGCAAGGCUUGGAAAUGGAUUUCUUGGAGGAUAUGAAGAUGAAGAAAAGUUUGCAGAUGUGAGUGGAGAGAAGAGCCUGGCUUCACACCAGCAAGAGCAAGUUCCUCAGGGAAUUGUUAAAAAUACUUUCUAGAAGCAUCACAGCAACUGAACACAGAACAACUAUUUCGUUGAUUAUUUGUUCCAAUGUUAUUGUAUUUAUAUUUCCUGUGUUCUCUAAAAUCCUUUUAAAGUCUGUUGAUUGAACCAGUUGAAGAAAUAUCACAUUUUAAAUUAAAUUUGAGCUUAGAAAACAAA